GUGCCUAAUACAUGCAAGUCGAACGAACAGAGAAAGAGCUUGCUCUUUCAAAGUGAGUGGCGGACGGGUGAGUAACACGUGGGUAACCUGCCCAUUAGAGGGGGAUAACACUUGGAAACAGGUGCUAAUACCGCAUAAUUCUUUGGACCGCAUGGUCUAAAGAUGAAAGACGCUUUCGGGUGUCACUAAUGGAUGGACCCGCGCUGCAUUAGUUAGUUGGUGAGGUAACGGCUCACCAAGACCGUGAUGCAUAGCCGACCUGAGAGGGUGAUCGGCCACACUGGGACUGAGACACGGCCCAGACUCCUACGGGAGGCAGCAGUAGGGAAUCUUCGGCAAUGGACGAAAGUCUGACCGAGCAACGCCGCGUGAGUGAAGAAGGUUUUCGGAUCGUAAAACUCUGUUGUUAGAGAAGAACAAGGAUGAGAGUAACUGUUCAUCCCUUGACGGUAUCUAACCAGAAAGCCACGGCUAACUACGUGCCAGCAGCCGCGGUAAUACGUAGGUGGCAAGCGUUGUCCGGAUUUAUUGGGCGUAAAGCGAGCGCAGGUGGUUUCUUAAGUCUGAUGUGAAAGCCCCCGGCUUAACCGGGGAGGGUCAUUGGAAACUGGGAGACUUGAGUGCAGAAGAGGAGAGUGGAAUUCCAUGUGUAGCGGUGAAAUGCGUAGAUAUAUGGAGGAACACCAGUGGCGAAGGCGACUCUCUGGUCUGUACCUGACACUGAGGCUCGAAAGCGUGGGGAGCCAACAGGAUAGAUACCCUGGUAGUCCACGCCGUAAACGAUGAGUGCUAAGUGUUUG
rnacentral:rRNA from 1 species